rnacentral:rRNA from 1 species
AUUGAACGCUGGCGGCAUGCUUUACACAUGCAAGUCGAACGGUAACAGGCCGCAAGGUGCUGACGAGUGGCGAACGGGUGAGUAAUGCAUCGGAACGUGCCCAGUCGUGGGGGAUAACGCAGCGAAAGCUGCGCUAAUACCGCAUACGAUCUAUGGAUGAAAGCGGGGGACCGUAAGGCCUCGCGCGAUUGGACCGGCCGAUGUCAGAUUAGGUAGUUGGUGGGGUAAAGGCUAACCAAGCCAACGAUCUGUAGCUGGUCCGAGAGGACGACCAGCCACACUGGGACUGAGACACGGCCCAGACUCCUACGGGAGGCAGCAGUGGGGAAUUUUGGACAAUGGGCGCAAGCCUGAUCCAGCAAUGCCGCGUGCAGGAAGAAGGCCUUCGGGUUGUAAACUGCUUUUGUACGGAACGAAACGGUCCUGGUUAAUACCCGGGGCUAAUGACGGUACCGUAAGAAUAAGCACCGGCUAACUACGUGCCAGCCGCCGCCGUAA